CCCUUUGCAGCCGCCAUUUUACGUCGCGGCAGAGAGACGAGUGGAGGGUGAGCAUCGUCCGGCUUCAGGGGCUGUUGUUUCUGCUUCAAAGCUCUCGCUGCGUGUGUUCUCUUCCCCUCCCUCAACAUCAGUCGGAGGGUUCAGAGACGAGAAAAAUGGUGAAAAUAUUCGUGGGGAACCUGCCGCGACUGACGACGGCCGAGGAGAUCCGGGCCCUGUUCGAGAAGUACGGCGAAGUGAGCGAGUGUGACCUCAUCAAGAACUAUGGAUUUGUGCACAUGGACAACAAGGAGGCAGCCAAGGAGGCGAUUCAGGGUCUGCAUCACUACAAGCUGCAUGGAGUCGCCAUCAACGUGGAGGCCAGCAAGAGCAUGACCAAGUCCUCCACCAAGCUCCACGUGGGCAAAGUGAGCCCCAACUGUACGAGCGAGGAGCUUCAGGCCAAGUUCGAGGAGUAUGGAACCGUGCUGGAGUGCGACAUCAUCAAGGAUUACGCCUUUGUGCACAUGGAGAGAGGGGAAGAUGCUAUGGCAGCCAUCAAAGGGCUGGAUGGCACAGAGUUAAAAGGCAAGCGGAUACACGUGGAGCUGUCCAAGAGCCGAUUACGGGUGCAGCCUGGAAUGGGUGAGAAGAACACCUGCUUCCGGUGCGGAAAGGAUGGCCAUUGGUCCAAGGAGUGCCCAGCAGACCGGCCGGAGCUGGCGGUGGGCUUCGCAACCGAUUACCUCGACCCCUUCGCCAUGUCCGCCCGCUACGGCGAUCAGCCGUUUUUCGACAGCCGCUACGUCGACUACUAUGAGAAGUACCGGGCAGGUGCCUAUGGAGCGGUGGGGACACCCUACCCCGACCGCUGGGGGGCCCAGCUGGGGGCCUACAGCGCCGGGCUGAGAGAGCGCUUGCCCAAGGCGUUGGAGGCAUACAGCCAAAGUGCCAUCUCCCAACCACCCACCUACUACGCCCGCGAUCGCAGCCCCCUGCGGCGUGCGGUAGUCUCCGCAGUCACUGACUACGCCACGGCCGCCACAGAGUACGCCGCUGCUGCCACAGCCUCCGCCACUGCCUCUGACUACGCCAGCUACGCCGCCCAGGACUACACUGGCGCCAACUUCGCUGCUGCAGCCGCUGCUGCAGGUUAUGGAGCAGCCAACGCCACCACCACCAGCGACUACACCAACGCCAGCUACACUGCCGCUGACUACGCCAGCGCUUACGGCUUCGACUACUCCAGUGCAGCGGCCAGCAGUGCUGCCUACUCUGCCGGCUCCACCGGUGAGGUCUUCGCGAGACAGUCGCAGUACUCUGCCUACUGAACAGUUUUGUGCCUGUUGGAAUCUCAGCUCCUGUUCCCUCCAGCGGAGCCUCUGGACAGUAGCAACUAUCACACUAGCUUCAGGUUGCAUUUCGUGGUAACUGGCGCAGCACCUUCUUUCUCUUCUCCGUUUUUUAUUUUGAUUUUUGUUCGGACCGUUCACUUCUCUAUUUUCCCCUUCCCUCCCCUUUCCCCUCCCGUUCCCCACGUGAUUGGGACAUGGUUCCAAAAGGUGCCUGUCCCAUCUGGCCCUCCGCUCUGUUUUUUAUUUUUCCUCCUUCAUUUGGCGAGUGUCGGCAGCGCGGAACGGCGCACGGCGCGGGUCAAGUGCGUGAUCUCUCGACACACGCGGACGUACGCUCGCGCGGGCACACGCACACCUCUCCAUCCUUCCCUUCCCCUACCCCCACCCCCCCCCCCCAUCUCUUCACCCACCCUGUCCCUCCCUCCUUCCCUCCCUCCUGCCCCCAACCUCCAGCCCUUUCCAUUCUCAGGCCUGUCGAGUUGUAAUGAGAGGUGCCGAGGGCAGGGGAGACCCCAGGGCGUGCUGACGGCGCGGCUGCCUGUUUAACCUCCUACUCUUGUCCACUUCCCCAGUCACCAUUUCCACCAGCGGCCAAGGCUCGAGAGAUGGAAGUGCAGUUUAGAGUGCGGAGACAGCGGGGGGCCUGAACGCACCCAAGUUGCCACCUGCUACACCAGUAACAGAAAUUAAACUGCCUGGCGCCUCGAGGUGCGAUCGCAAUCUGAGGAGGAAUGCAGUGGGAUGCUGUUGUGUUUUGUCGGCUCCUGGAGGCGGGUGUUCCUACUUGCGUGCAGUGCCACAGAUGUUGUACAUAUUGGUAAUACCUGUUGACAAGACCGCGGUUCCCCCUGCUACUGUCACAAACUCGGGUCGUAUCUUGUGCGGAUUACCCUCACCGUCGGGAUUUAGCGCGGACGACACCAGGGAAAAUACUAUCUGUAUACAUAAAAGAUUGUGCUUUUCUGUUAAAACUAGCAGUCAAAAAUUGAUUUUUUUUUAAUUUUCCCCAAAUGAACUGUGUUUUGCUUUUUUUUUUGGAGUUCUUUUUUUUAAA